rfam:Clostridium sp. BL8 Contig02, whole genome shotgun sequence.
CCUUUGGAGCAACAUACAAACUGGAGUAAUCUUAUGAUAAAACAGGUUGCAUUGAAUAAGGAA